rnacentral:rRNA from 1 species
GACAGAGGGUGCAAACGUUGCUCGGAAUCACUGGGCGUAAAGGGCGUGUAGGCGGGAAGGUAAGUCGGGCGUGAAAUCCCUGAGCUCAACUCAGGAACUGCACUCGAAACUACUUUUCUUGAGUGCCGGAGAGGAAAGCGGAAUACCUGGUGUAGAGGUGAAAUUCGUAGAUAUCAGGUGGAACACCAGUGGCGAAGGCGGCUUUCUGGACGGUAACUGACGCUGAGACGCGAAAGCGUGGGGAGCAAACAGG